AAAGUUACAUGUGGCAGGGGAGAUACCAUGAUCACAAAGAUGGUUUUCCCAGGGCGAGGCUUAUCCAUUGCACUCCGGAGGUGCUGACCCCUGCGAUCUCCCCAAAUGUGGAGAAACUCUAUUGCAGAAUUUGUGGUAGUGAGGGACUGCAUUCGUGCUCUCCCCUG